GUAGCUCAAUGGUAGAGUGCUUGCCUUGUACACAUGAGGUUCUGGGUUUGAUCCCCAGC
rnacentral:tRNA from 1 species